GAUGAACGCUAGCGGCAGGCUUAAUACAUGCAAGUCGAACGGCAGCGGGUCCAGCAAUGGAUGCCGGCGAGUGGCGCACGGGUGCGUAACACGUAUGCAACCUACCUUUAACCGGGACAUAACCUCGAGAAAUCGUGGCUAAUAUUCCAUAAUAUCUUUGAAUCGCAUGGUUUGAAGAUCAGAAUUCCGAUGGUUUUAGAUGGGCAUGCGCGACAUUAGCUAGUUGGUGAGGCAAUGGCUCACCAAGGCUACGAUGUUUAGGGGGUCUGAGAGGAUGAUCCCCCACACUGGUACUGAGACACGGACCAGACUCCUACGGGAGGCAGCAGUAAGGAAUAUUGGGCAAUGGGCGCAAGCCUGACCCAGCCAUGCCGCGUGCAGGAUGACAGCCCUACGGGUUGUAAACUGCUUUUAUACGGGAAAAAACCCUCUGACGUGUCAGAGGCUGAUGGUACCGUAAGAAUAAGCAUCGGCUAACUCCGUGCCAGCAGCCGCGGUAAAAC
rnacentral:rRNA from 1 species